GUAGGUGGCAAGCGUUGUCCGGAAUUAUUGGGCGUAAAGCGCGCGCAGGCGGUUCUUUAAGUCUGAUGUGAAAGCCCACGGCUCAACCGUGGAGGGUCAUUGGAAACUGGAGAACUUGAGUACAGAAGAGGAAAGCGGAAUUCCACGUGUAGCGGUGAAAUGCGUAGAGAUGUGGAGGAACACCAGUGGCGAAGGCGGCUUUCUGUUCUGUAACUGACGCUGAGGCGCGAAAGCGUGGGGAGCAAACAGGGAUUAGAUACCCUGGUAGUCCACGCCGUAAACGAUGAGUGCUAAGUGUUAGGGGGUUUCCGCCCCCUUAGUGCUGCAGCUAACGCAUUAAGCACUCCGCCUGGGGAUACGGCCGCAAGGCUG
rnacentral:rRNA from 1 species